rnacentral:rRNA from 1 species
AACGUAGGUUCCGAGCGUUGUUCGGAAUUACUGGGCGUAAAGGGCGCGUAGGCGGCCUUCUAAGUCGAACGUGAAAUCCCCGGGCUCAACCCGGGAACUGCGUCCGAUACUGGAAGGCUUGAAUCCGGGAGAGGGAUGCGGAAUUCCAGGUGUAGCGGUGAAAUGCGUAGAUAUCAGGAGGAACACCAGUGGCGAAGGCGGCUUCCUGGACACCAACUGACGCUGAGGCGCGAAAGCGUGGGGAGCAAACAGG